rnacentral:sRNA from 1 species
CAUAUGGUCAACUAGGGUUCCGGCCCGUGCCCACGGGUGCCUGGUCCGAGAGUUGACGGCCUUUUCCAAGGCUACACGGCGGGACAAAAGCCCGGGAGGA